UGAACAUAAACUGAAGUUGUAGUGUAUCAAACAGAUGAAAAAAAAUAUCUUGUCGGUCCAGGACGAUAGACUAUCACCGUUAAGUGUCAUUUUUACUUAUCAAUCUUAUAUUGUUGUAUGGUUUUAUUUAAUGGGAAAAUAGAUUUUAAAUUCAGAUAUUUUGUUUAAUUGAUGACUUUAUUUACAGUGACAUAUAAAACAAGACAAAUUAAAAGACACAUUGUGUAUUAGCUGUUAUUCAGGUAUAACAGUUUCAAAUAAAGUUGCAUUCGGACAAGAUAAUUCUAUUGCAAUCUUAUUCACACUGAAUAAGAGGAGCUGUGUGUUCUUCUGUAAGACUAUUUACAGGUUCCGAUUCCUCAUCCAUACCAGGUCUGAUAGAAACUUUAUACAAAAAAAGUUGACAUUAUUAAAUAAUACG
rnacentral:lncRNA from 1 species